UACGGGGGGGGGCAAGCGUUUGUUCGGAAUUACUGGGCGUAAAGGGCCAGUAGGCGGCCAACUAAGUCCGACGUGAAAUCCCAAGGCUUAACCUUGGAACUGCGUCGGAUACUGGAUGGCUUGAAUUCGGGAGAGGGAUGCAGAAUUCCAGGUGUAGCGGUGAAAUGCGUAGAUAUCUGGAGGAAUACCGGUGGCGAAGGCGGCAUCCUGGACCGACAUUGACGCUGAACGGCGAAAGCUAGGGGAGCAAACGGG
rnacentral:rRNA from 1 species